AACGAACGCUGGCGGCAGGCUUAACACAUGCAAGUCGAACGCAUCCUUCGGGGUGAGUGGCAGACGGGUGAGUAACGCGUGGGAACGUGCCCUUCAGUUCGGGAUAACCCAGGGAAACUUGGGCUAAUACCGGAUACGUGCGAGAGCAGAAAGAUUUAUCGCUGAAGGAUCGGCCCGCGUCUGAUUAGCUAGUUGGUGGGGUAAUGCCCACCAAGGCGACGAUCAGUAGCUGGUCUGAGAGGAUGAUCAGCCACAUUGGGACUGAGACACGGCCCAAACUCCUACGGGAGGCAGCAGUGGGGAAUAUUGGACAAUGGGCGCAAGCCUGAUCCAGCCAUGCCGCGUGAGUGAUGAAGGCCUUAGGGUUGUAAAGCUCUUUCGUCCGGGACGAUAAUGACGGUACCGGAAGAAGAAGCCCCGGCUAACUUCGUGCCAGCAGCCGCCGCCG
rnacentral:rRNA from 1 species